CCCCCUCCCCCUCUGUCCAUCCUCCCUCCCCGAGCCUCGACACGGGAUUCGACACGUCACCUCACCCUCGCAGGAGCUCCGCCCACACCUGAACAGCCAGUCAACCAGGAGCCCAUAUUUGGAGCAGAGGGGGAGUGGCCAGGGGGCAGAGGGGCGGGACCCUCAGAAGCAGGAUUGGUACACGAAGUACUUCUCCUUCUGAACACACACACACCACCACACACACACACACACCUGUACAACACACUCAGCUUUAAACAAACACCUGACAGACCACACACACACACACACACCACACACACACACAGGUGACCUCUACUCACCUGUACAACACACACAGGUGACCUCUACUCACCUGUACAACACACUCAGCUUUAAACAAACACCUGACAGACCAAAAGCUUGUUCAAUGCAAAUGUAUUGUAUUAUAAUCUAUAAUGUGGAAUAAAGUAUUUUAUUUAUAUCUA